rnacentral:lncRNA from 1 species
CCAAGUUAAAGUGAGACCUGUGUUAAUCAAUCUUGCUACCUGUCAAGGUGGAGAAGAGCAAGCGGAGAAGUGGUUGUUAACUCGCUGUCACAUUCCGGAGGGGCUGGAGGAGCAGGGAGAGCACAGGUGUGUGGUGGAGAGACACAAGAUGGCAGAGUGGGAAUUUCCUCACAUUAAAGCUGAAUUUGGAUUGAACUGAUUGGAGCCAUUCACCAAGGCAGCACUAUGCAGGCA